AGCUUUGCACAGUGGCAGUAUCGUAGCCAGUGAGGUUUAUCCAAGGCACGAUUAUUGCUAAUGAAAACUUUUCCCAAAAUUGUUUUCCAAAGAGAUCAACUGUUAGACAAGAGUAGUGUUAUUCCAUGACUUCU